rnacentral:rRNA from 1 species
AACUGAGGGUAGCGGAGAAAUUCCAAUCGAACUUGGAGAUAGCUGGUUCUCUCCGAAAUAGCUUUAGGGCUAGCCUCAAGUGAUGAUUAUUGGAGGUAGAGCACUGUUUGGACGAGGGGCCUCUCUCGGGUUACCGAAUUCAGACAAACUCCGAAUGCCAAUUAAUUUAACUUGGGAGUCAGAACAUGGGUGAUAAGGUCCGUGUUCGAAAGGGAAACAGCCCAGACCACCAGCUAAGGUCCC